rnacentral:lncRNA from 1 species
GACAGGUCCGAGACUUGUGGGUUUAGUUACGUGAGGCCCUACUGUAUUACACUUCAGGGUUAUUUUGAGAUGGUCACGAGAGAGCACUUGAACCCUGAACAAAGAACCUCUCUUGCCUUAUCCUAUUACAGAUGACAGUGAAGUGUUUUAAGUGCCCGGAGUCUGAUGCAACUGCAAAACCCCAACCAAAAGGUUGCCAAACAUCCUUGUUAUGGGACUCAAGAAAAAGCCACGUAAAAGGAAAGAAAGCUUUCCUUUCCUCUCUGGCCUGUCAAAGGGCAUUCUCCCCGCACCCAGACUCCUAAAGAGGAAGGAUUCUUGCUUAUGGAAGGAAAGCUAGGCAAAGAUCAAGGAGAAGACUGUUUCUGGAAGAGGCAGAGGGAACAGACAACGCGAAGUCCCUAAAUGGGAACAAGUUUGAGUUAUUGGAGGAAGUCGGUGUGAGUGGAGUUUAGGGGAAGGCAGGGAGUUACAAAAUGAGGUUGGAGUGAUGGGCAGAGGUUAGAUCCUGCAGCACUCUGAAGUUCAGGAAAGAUUUCAGAGUCUAUUCUAAGUGUAGGGGAAAAUAAAUGACUUAAAACCUUCCAUUGGAAGGUUUUAAGAAGAGGAGUAGUGUUAUGAACCAAAUGUGUAUGUCUCCCCAAAAUUCAUAUGUUGAAAUCCUAACCUCCAAUGUGAUGGUGUUAGGAGGUGGGUCUUUCAGGGGUGAUUAGGUCAUGAGGGUAGAGCCUCAUGAAUGGGAUUAGUGCCCUUAUGACAAGAGACAGGAGAGCUUGCCGUCCUUCCGCACUCCAGCAUGUGAAGAUUCAAGAAGAUGGCCAUCUGUAAAACCAGGAAGUGGAUCCUCACCAAAUACUGGAUUGGCCAAGCACCUUGAUCUUGAACUUCUCAGCCUUCAGAACUGUACACAGUGUCUGUGUGUUCCCUGCUCUUGGAUCUCUGACUUGAGUGAAUCUGCUCCAACUGCCUCAGCCAGCCCUGGCCUUGGUCUUUCUGGCAAGACAUCCUAGAAGACUGUAUUUUGCUAAGACUGCAACUGCCAGCCACAAGCUUGAUGAGCAGCCUAGGGAAUGUGGAAAGAAGUCAUAAAGAGAAGAGAUGUAGCUAUUUCUUUGGCUAUAUCCCAAAGAGAGUAUAAUUCAUUUAAUCCUCCCCAUAAUGAUUCCACUGAUUUUCAAGGUCCCCAAAUAUCUGUCCACAUACCAGUUUCUCAACGGACCGCCAACACGGAGGAUUCUUUUUCUCAACAGUUUAUACCUCCAACCUCAAGGUAACUAAUGGUAACAGUUGAUGUGUAUCCUUCCAC